rnacentral:ncRNA from 2 species
CACACAUCGCACGGGAGUGCCCGCUCGAGGGCGCUGAGAGGACGGCUAGUGCCGUCGACCGUCUGAACCUGUCCGGGUAAUGCCGGCGUAGGGAGAAGCACAUGUCUGAUG